UCCCUGAAAGUCCAGUGGUUAGGACUUCAUGCUUUCAUUGCCAAAGGCCUGGGUUCAAUCCCUGGUUGGGGAA
rnacentral:tRNA from 1 species